rnacentral:rRNA from 1 species
GAUGAACGCUGGCGGCGUGCCUAAUACAUGCAAGUCGAACGCAUAGCGAAAGGUGCUUGCACCUUUCAAGUGAGUGGCGAACGGGUGAGUACCACGUGGACAACCUGCCUCAAGGCUGGGGAUAACAUUUGGAAACAGAUGCUAAUACCGAAUAAAACUUAGUGUCGCAUGACACAAAGUUAAAAGGCGCUUCGGCGUCACCUAGAGAUGGAUCCGCGGUGCAUUAGUUAGUUGGUGGGGUAAAGGCCUACCAAGACAAUGAUGCAUAGCCGAGUUGAGAGACUGAUCGGCCACAUUGGGACUGAGACACGGCCCAAACUCCUACGGGAGGCUGCAGUAGGGAAUCUUCCACAAUGGGCGAAAGCCUGAUGGAGCAACGCCGCGUGUGUGAUGAAGGCUUUCGGGUCGUAAAGCACUGUUGUAUGGGAAGAACAGCUAGAAUAGGAAAUGAUUUUAGUUUGACGGUACCAUACCAGAAAGGGACGGCUAAAUACGUG